rnacentral:rRNA from 1 species
UUGGCUAUCACUCUGGGAUGGACCUGCGGUGCAUUAGCUAGUUGGUAAGGUAACGGCUUACCAAGGCGAUGAUGCAUAGCCGAGUUGAGAGACUGAUCGGCCACAAUGGAACUGAGACACGGUCCAUACUCCUACGGGAGGCAGCAGUAGGGAAUCUUCCACAAUGGGCGCAAGCCUGAUGGAGCAACACCGCGUGAGUGAAGAAGGGUUUCGGCUCGUAAAGCUCUGUUGUUGGAGAAGAACGUGCGUGAGAGUAACUGUUCACGCAGUGACGGUAUCCAACCAGAAAGUCACGGCUAACUACGUGCCAGCAGCCGCGGUAAUACGUAGGUGGCAAGCGUUAUCCGGAUUUAUUGGGCGUAAAGCGAGCGCAGGCGGUUGCUUAGGUCUGAUGUGAAAGCCUUCGGCUUAACCGAAGAAGUGCAUCGGAAACCGGGCGACUUGAGUGCAGAAGAGGACAGUGGAACUCCAUGUGUAGCGGUGGAAUGCGUAGAUAUAUGGAAGAACACCAGUGGCGAAGGCGGCUGUCUGGUCUGCAACUGACGCUGAGGCUCGAAAGCAUGGGUAGCGAACAGGAUUAGAUACCCUGGUAGUCCAUGCCGUAAACGAUGAGUGCUAGGUGUUGGAGGGUUUCCGCCCUUCAGUGCCGGAGCUAACGCAUUAAGCACUCCGCCUGGGGAGUACGACCGCAAGGUUGAAACUCAAAGGAAUUGACGGGGGCCCGCACAAGCGGUGGAGCAUGUGGUUUAAUUCGAAGCUACGCGAAGAACCUUACCAGGUCUUGACAUC